UUGGUGAUACGCCUAAAUCAUAGGUGUCAAACUCAAGGCCCAGGGGCAAAAUCUGGCCCGCCGUGGCUUUUUACAUGGCCCUCUGGAUUCCAGAUUACAUCAAUAAGUCCUUCCAGUUUUUCACAAAUCUGCAAAAUUCACACAAAAUCAACAAAUUUCCAAUUUUUGUCCUAAUUUUACUGCAAAUGUUCUCAAAAUUGGUCAAAAACAUUGAAUCCGUAACUGAUACAGCGAGUCACGUUUCACAUCAUA